rnacentral:rRNA from 1 species
GUCCACGCCGUAAACGAUGUCAACUAGCCGUUGGAAUCCUUGAGAUUUUAGUGGCGCAGCUAACGCAUUAAGUUGACCGCCUGGGGAGUACGGCCGCAAGGUUAAAACUCAAAUGAAUUGACGGGGGCCCGCACAAGCGGUGGAGCAUGUGGUUUAAUUCGAAGCAACGCGAAGAACCUUACCAGGCCUUGACAUCCAGUGAACUUACCAGAGAUGGUUUGGUGCCUUCGGGAACACUGAGACAGGUGCUGCAUGGCUGUCGU